GCCUGGGUGGCUCAGCGGUUGAGCGUCUGCCUUUGGCUCAGGGCAUGAUCCCAGAUUCUCGGGAUCGAGUCCCGCAUCGGGCU
rnacentral:tRNA from 1 species